GAUGAACGCUAGCUACAGGCUUAACACAUGCAAGUCGAGGGGAAACGGCAUUGAGUGCUUGCACUUUUUGGACGUCGACCGGCGCACGGGUGAGUAACGCGUAUCCAACCUUCCCAUGACUAAGGGAUAACCUGCCGAAAGGCAGACUAAUACCUUAUGGUCUUCACUGACGGCAUCAGAUGUGAAGUAAAGAUUUAUCGGUUAUGGAUGGGGAUGCGUCUGAUUAGCUUGUUGGCGGGGUAACGGCCCACCAAGGCAACGAUCAGUAGGGGUUCUGAGAGGAAGGUCCCCCACAUUGGAACUGAGACACGGUCCAAACUCCUACGGGAGGCAGCAGUGAGGAAUAUUGGGCAAUGGGCGAGAGCCUGAACCAGCCAAGUAGCGUGCAGGAUGACGGCCCUAUGGGUUGUAAACUGCUUUUGUAUGGGGAUAAAGUCAAUCACGUGUGAUUGUUUGCAGGUACCAUACGAAUAAGGACCGGCUAAUUCCGUG
rnacentral:rRNA from 1 species